rnacentral:lncRNA from 9 species
AAGGAAGAAAAAGAAAUGUAUGAUGCUAGGAACCACAUUGCAGAAAUGCUGAAGGGAAGUUCAAACAAACUCUGAACACAUCUUCCUCAAGUACAUCCUACCUAAAGGAAACUCUUGCUUGGCACUGUUGGUUGUUCUGAAAGAAGAGAAAAUCCAGCAAACCACUGACCAUUUCAUUUUGCUGGUAAGUACCUGUUCUUUCCCAUCUCUUG